rnacentral:rRNA from 1 species
AUUGAACGCUGGCGGCAUGCCUUACACAUGCAAGUCGAACGGCAGCACGGGUGCUUGCACCUGGUGGCGAGUGGCGAACGGGUGAGUAAUACAUCGGAACAUGUCCUGUAGUGGGGGAUAGCCCGGCGAAAGCCGGAUUAAUACCGCAUACGAUCUACGGAUGAAAGCGGGGGACCUUCGGGCCUCGCGCUAUAGGGUUGGCCGAUAGCUGAUUAGCUAGUUGGUGGGGUAAAGGCCUACCAAGGCGACGAUCAGUAGCUGGUCUGAGAGGACGACCAGCCACACUGGGACUGAGACGCGGCCCAGACUCCUACGGGAGGCAGCAGUGGGGAAUUUUGGACAAUGGGCGAAAGCCUGAUCCAGCAAUGCCGCGUGUGUGAAGAAGGCCUUCGGGUUGUAAAGCACUUUUGUCCGGAAAGAAAUCCUUGGCUCUAAUACAGUCGGGGGAUGACGGUACCGGAAGAAUAAGCACCGGCUAACUACGUG